rnacentral:rRNA from 1 species
UUAGGAAUAUUGGACAAUGGGCGCAAGCCUGAUCCAGCCAUGCCGCGUGAGUGAUGAAGGCCUUCGGGUUGUAAAACUCUUUAGCCGAUGAAUAUAAUGACUGUAGUCGGAGAAUAAGCCCCGGCUAACUUCGUGCCAGCAGCCGCGGUAAUACGAAGGGGGCGAGCGUUAUUCGGAAUCACUGGGCGUAAAGCGUGCGUAGGCUGUCUAGAAAGUUGGAAGUGAAAGCCCAGGGCUCAACCCUGGAAUUGCUUCCAAAACUACUAGACUCGGAUUUGGGAGAGGAUAGCGGAAUUGUCAGUGUAGCAGUGAAAUGCGUAGAUAUUGACAGGAACACCAGUGGCGCAAGCGGCUAUCAGGACCAACAUCGACGCUGAGGCACGAAAGCGUGGGGAUCAAA